CACGUAGGACGCGAACGUUGUCCGGAAUUAUUGGGCGUAAAGAGCUCGUAGGCGGCCUGUUGCGUCCGCUGUGAAAGCCCGGGGCUCAACCCCGGAGGUGCGGCCGAGACUGCAGGGCUGGAGGCCGGAAGAGGAGGGUGGAAUACCCAGUGUAGAGGUGAAAUUCGUAGAUAUUGGGUGGAACACCGGUGGCGAAAGCGGCUCUCUGGUCCGGACCUGACGCUGAGGCGCGAAAGCGUGGGGAGCAAACAGG
rnacentral:rRNA from 1 species